rnacentral:rRNA from 1 species
GGAACAACUGAGGGAACUUCAGCUAAUACCGUAUGUGCCCUUCGGGGGAAAGAUUUAUCGCCAUUGGAGCGGCCCGCGUUAGAUUAGCUAGUUGGUGGGGUAAAGGCCUACCAAGGCAACGAUCUAUAGCUGGUCUGAGAGGAUGAUCAGCCACACUGGGACUGAGACACGGCCCAGACUCCUACGGGAGGCAGCAGUAGGGAAUCUUGCGCAAUGGGCGAAAGCCUGACGCAGCCAUGCCGCGUGAAUGAUGAAGGUCUUAGGAUUGUAAAAUUCUUUCACCGGGGACGAUAAUGACGGUACCCGGAGAAGAAGCCCCGGCUAACUUCGUGCCAGCAGCCGCGGUAAUACGAAGGGGGCUAGCGUUGCUCGGAAUUACUGGGCGUAAAGGGAGCGUAGGCGGAUAGUUUAGUCAGAGGUGAAAGCCCAGGGCUCAACCUUGGAAUUGCCUUUGAUACUGGCUAUCUUGAGUGUGGAAGAGGUAUGUGGAACUCCGAGUGUAGAGGUGAAAUUCGUAGAUAUUCGGAAGAACACCAGUGGCGAAGGCGACAUACUGGCCCAUUACUGACGCUGAG